GAUGAACGCUGGCGGCGUGCCUAAUACAUGCAAGUCGAGCGAACAGAUGAGGAGCUUGCUCCUCUGACGUUAGCGGCGGACGGGUGAGUAACACGUGGAUAACCUACCUAUAAGACUGGGAUAACUUCGGGAAACCGGAGCUAAUACCGGAUAAUAUAUUGAACCGCAUGGUUCAUUAGUGAAAGACGGUUUUGCUGUCACUUAUAGAUGGAUCCGCGCCGCAUUAGCUAGUUGGUAAGGUAACGGCUUACCAAGGCAACGAUGCGUAGCCGACCUGAGAGGGUGAUCGGCCACACUGGAACUGAGACACGGUCCAGACUCCUACGGGAGGCAGCAGUAGGGAAUCUUCCGCAAUGGGCGAAAGCUUGACGGAGCAACGCCGCGUGAGUGAUGAAGGCCUUCGGAUCGUAAAACUCUGUUAUUAGGGAAGAACAAAUGUGUAAGUAACUAUGCACGUCUUGACGGUACCUAAUCAGAAAGCCACGGCUAACUACGUG
rnacentral:rRNA from 1 species